CGGGGUGAGUAACGCGUGGGUAACCUGCCCUAUACACAUGGAUAACAUACUGAAAAGUUUACUAAUACAUGAUAAUAUAUAUUUGUGGCAUCGCAGAUAUAUCAAAGUGUUAGCGGUAUAGGAUGGACCCGCGUCUGAUUAGCUAGUUGGUGGGGUAACGGCCUACCAAGGCGACGAUCAAUAGCCGACCUGAGAGGGUGACCGGCCACAUUGGGACUGAGACACGGCCCAA
rnacentral:rRNA from 1 species